CAGUCGUACCUGCGGACAAUCAGCUUUUUGAGUGUGAUUAUGUGGAUUGUGAGGAGUUUAAUCCCCCUCAUGUUUUACGUAUUCGUAUACUUUGGGUGUACUUAUUCGUGUGGUAAGUUAACAUCAAUUUUGGUGAUCAUAAAAUGACUAGAGGAAUGUAGCUUCGAUCUCGUAUUGAAGUGUUAUAGACUCUGGUAGACGUGACGAUUGGGGAUUGAGGAUUGCAACGGAUACCCUUCGGGGCUACUCGUCUGAUCUCUGAAGGUUGCUCCGGUACCG
rnacentral:rRNA from 1 species